rnacentral:rRNA from 1 species
UACGGGGGGGGCAAGCGUUGUUCGGAAUUACUGGGCGUAAAGGGCUCGUAGGCGGCCAACUAAGUCGGAUGUGAAAUCCCCAGGCUUAACCUGGGAACUGCAUCCGAUACUGGAUGGCUUGAAUUCGGGAGAGGGAUGCAGAAUUCCAGGUGUAGCGGUGAAAUGCGUAGAUAUCGGGAGGAACACCAGUGGCGAAGGCGACUUCCUGGCCUGUUCUUGACGCUGAGGCGCGAAAGCUAGGGUAGCAAACGGG